rnacentral:rRNA from 1 species
GACGAACGCUGGCGGCGUGCUUAACACAUGCAAGUCGAACGGAAAGGCCCUGCUUUUGUGGGGUGCUCGAGUGGCGAACGGGUGAGUAACACGUGAGUCACCUGCCCUUGACUUUGGGAUAACUUCAGGAAACUGGGGCUAAUACCGGAUAGGAGCUCCUGCUGCAUGGUGGGGGUUGGAAAGUUUCGGCGGUUGGGGAUGGACUCGCGGCUUAUCAGCUUGUUGGUGGGGUAGUGGCUUACCAAGGCUUUGACGGGUAGCCGGCCUGAGAGGGUGACCGGCCACAUUGGGACUUAGAUACGGCCCAGACUCCUACGGGAGGCAGCAGUGGGGAAUAUUGCACAAUGGGCGGAAGCCUGAGGCAGCAACGCCGCGUGCGGGAUGACGGCCUUCGGGUUGUAAACCGCUUUCGCCUGUGACGAAGCGUGAGUGACGGUAAUGGGUAAAGAAGCACCGGCUAACUACGUG